ACUGCAUGCUGACCAAUACUAGUUAUUAUUUGCGCUUGCUUCUGCUAGUAAAACAUGUACUAUCGGAGUAGCUUAAACAGAGAAAAAUGAAUGCAGUAGUAAUAACUGCAGCUGGUGGACCAGAGGUUUUACAAUUGCAGGAAGUAGAAGACCGAUGAGGUCUUGAUCAAGAUAGAGGCUCCCGCCGUCAACCGCGGAGAUUCCCUCCAAAGAAUUGGCAAGUCCAUUUACCCGUCUCCUAUGGACGGCAGCCCCUACCCUGUCUUGAAUGCUCCGGUACCAUUUUAGCCGUUGGUAAACUCGUUUCUCGCUGGAAAGUGGCCGACCAGGCUGCGUGCUCUUCUUAAUGGAGGAGGUUAUGCAGAGAAGGUUGCAGUUCCAGCUGGACAAGUUCUUCCUGUCCCAUCUGGUAUUUCUCUAAAGGAUGCUGCUGCUUUCCCUGAGGUUGCCUGUACUGUUUGGUCCACUGUUUUUAUGAUGAGUCGGCUGUCUGAAGGAGAAAUAUUUCUAAUUCGUGGGGGUUCUAAGAGGAAUGGUACAUUUGCAAUUCAAAUAGCUAAAUAUCAAGGGAGUGAGGAAAAAUUAGUUGCUUGUAAGGAACUUGGUGCUGAUGUGUGCAUUAAUUAUAAAACAGAGGACUUCGUUGCACGAGUGAAGGAGGAAACUGGCAGCAAAGAUCUGCUGUUCUUUUAGACAUCAUAAAUAUUGUUUGGGCGCAUCCUACCUUCAGAAAAACCUGGACAGCUAAAAUGCUGGUGGGAGGCUUUUUAUCAUUGGCUUCAUGGGUGGAGACGUGACAGAAAUUAAUCUGACUUCGUUAGUGGCAAAGCGCCUUACAGUGCAAGAAGGUAUUACCUUACUCCUUUAUUGCAUCUAAGCUGUCCUCUUCUUCAAAUUUCCUUUCAUUUUCCUUCUAACAGGUUUCUAUUCAUAUGGAAAAAUCCCAUAAUGGGCAAGUUUGAGCGCAGUUCUUACUUUUUUUUUUUUUUCAAUUCCUUUUAAAUGUGUGAAUUAGGCUAAGUUUGUCUUGUGGUAGUUUAAAUGAACUUUGUGAAUAUUGCGUACAUAAAACUGAUAUCCUGAAAAACUGGCAUCAUAAUUAUAAGCUCUGUUCUAGUGGUAAUUCACUUUUCACCAAUCAAUUUCUCAAUUUGAUGGUAAAGGACUGAGAUAUAUGCACAUGUGGCCUCCAUGAAUGCUUCCAUCUCAAGUUGUACCUCCUUCUUUAAAUGAUGCAUCAUCACCUAUAGUGUCUUGUAUUCCUGCUGUUCCAAUGAUUUAAGUACACAUUUGAUAGAAUGGCAUAGAAUGUAUUUGGAUAUGUUGAAGUACGAGUAUUUUUCAUUUCAUUUCACUUUGAUCUACCAAGCAUCCGUACACAAAGAACCCUACUUUCCAUGGUAAUAUUGUUGAUAAGAGAUAAGUUUCAAUCCAAAAUAAGACUCAGGGAUAAGUAAAAAAAUACUACUUGUAGUUUCACUCAUUUGCAAAAAUGGGCAUGUGAUUUAUUUUGUGGCAAAAGAUUAUCAUGUGGUUUACACUGUUAACAAAUUACUGCCAAACAUGCUAACACCGUUUAUUGGCUCUAAUGUGGUUUCAUAUUUUUGCAAUUUCGUACCAUGUAGUUUUUCUUUGUAAAAUUUUUAUACCUUAUGAGUUAUUUUUUUAAUACUUUAGUGCUAAUCAAAUUGAUAUGAUAGAUAUUUUAUAAAGUAUUCCUCAAAUUAAAUUUGAUUUUAAUACAAUAAUUUGGCACUUAACUAAUUGUUUUGGGCUUGAAAUAAAUGAUAACAAUAUAUUUUUUUAUAAUUCAUAGUUAAAUGAAAAGGUAGUCUUUCAAAACAAUUUUAAAUAAUAUUUAUGAGUUUUUGAGGCAUGUAACUAUGUAAUAUUAUUAUAGAAGUAUUUAUGAUUGAUGGUUCAUGUUAUAUUAGUAUCAAAUCAUAAAUACUAAUUUGAUAAGUUUGAUUGAGAUAUAUAAUAGGCAAAUGAAAUAAAAUAUAGGGUAUGAAAAUGUUACAAAGAAAAAUUACAAGGUAUGAAAUUGCAAAAAUAUGAAGCCAUAUGAGAGCCAAUUAACACUGUUAGCAUCUUUUGUCACAAAAAAAAACACAUGCCCGAAUGAGUGAACCCACAGGGCAGUUCUUUUAUACUUAUCCCUGAAACUAAUUCCUGAUGAUAUCAACCUUAUAGUUGUGUUUUGCUUUUGGUUUGAUGAGGUGCUAUUUUUCUUUCCUUCAAAUGCAACUUGGGUUUCAAUAGAAAGUUGUUAUCUGCAUUGAAACGUAACAAUAACACGUCUGUCAUUGAUACUCGUAUUUGGAGUGGCUGGCUUGAGAGUUAGAAGUCCAGAAUACAAAGCCGAAAUGGUGAAGGAGGUGGAGAAAAAUGUUUGGCCUGCAAUUGUUGAAGGCAAGGUGAAGCCCAUUGUGUACAUAGAUUUUCAAUUAUCGGAAGCAGCAGUCUCGCUCUCACCGACUCACUGAAAGUAAUCAGCACAUCGGCAAGAUCAUACUUGUUGCAUGAUGCUAUGAUUGGUAUGGCAGCUUCAGUUGAUAAUGAUGAUACAACGACAGAAAUACUAUGUACAGACGCCGGAUAUUUUGUUGAAAAAGCUUAAUGGUACAGUAUCAACCCGAAUCUCCAGCGAAGCCAACAUGAGAGGGGCCUGCUAACAUAGAACAAGUUGAAGAAAUCAGGUGAUUCAUAAGAGCAGUUGUAUAGCUCUACAGACAACAGGAGUAAAACUCUUAACAAUCACCACACACAUGUAUAAUCUGUAAUGUAAUAGAUGGAAUAUUUAUCAGUUUUAGACGCAAAAUAAACAGGCAAGACAGUUGCUCUGCUACUUAAGUUUUGCAUCCAAACAUGUAGCUUUGAAGUUGUGAAGCUAAGAGCAUAAGUGCCUCUGUCAAUCAAAUUCAUUUUACUAUCUUAAAUUCAAAUUAUAUUACAUUUUAGUCC